GUUGUCUUUAUCAAAACUAUAUUGUAUCUUGGACAUUCUUAAUACAUAUAUUAGAAAAAAAGUAGUCUUCUUACACUAUACGAGAAAAAAAAUGUAGGAACAAAGUUUUUAUUGAAUUAGCCAUAGUUAACUGAUAAAUGGCUGUGAUAAUGAUAUUUAUCUUUAAAACCAUCAUAUUAUAAUAUUAAUUGUGCAAUGCAAAUUUUUCCUCUGAGUACCC
rnacentral:lncRNA from 1 species